CUUAGGAACUUGGUCAAAAUAUCAUUUCAAUUGUUUGUUUUUAGAUGUAAUUACUUUUCCCAAAGACUCUUGCUCACUUUUCCCAAACACUCUUCCUGUCUCUCCAACCUACGAAAUUUGUCUCUCUGUCUCUAACCCCAGAUCUAGAUCCGGCCAACAACGGUGACAUAAACCAGUGGAGAGCUAUUUCCUUCAAAUCGCGGGUGAAGAUCUAUUUCUUUCGAAUCAUGGGUGAAGUCCUUCAAAUCAAAAAGCUUUUUAGAAGAAUUUACAGUGAAAUUUUCAUGAGAAAGCAUUAAUUUAGAGGAUUAGAUUGCUGGAUUUGUUUACGAAGAAGAAACACACGGUCAAUUCAGGGGCGGAUCCAGCACCUGGCGAGCCGGCGCGGCCGCCCGUGCUGGAUCCGUCGGAGAAAAAUUUAGUGAAAGUUUAUGUUAAAUAUUUAUCUAUAUAUGUUUUGUGCAUAAGAGUCAACAAAAUGGGCGGUAGACGCAGUGGUUGCGCUCUCACUUUUACAUUAAAGAGAUACCGCAGUGAAUGUUCAACAUUCGCGGUUCGCCCUAGCUGAACUCAAAGCCUAAAUUCGUCCCUGACGGUCAUGAUUUGAAGGAAAUUUAGUCCGUGAUUUUUUGAAGGAAGGAAUAAAUAUAGCCAAGGAACAUGACUAUUCGGAGAUUUCCCUCGACAUAACUCUACGUAAGGAUUAAAGAGAUUCGAAAGACAACGAGAAUGGAAAGAAAGGUGUCAAUAAAAUGUAGCAUUGAACUUCGAUGUAAUUGGACAGUGAUAAUUGUAUCUCUUUGUAUUUGUAUCUUGUAUGGUUUUACAUCGGUUGCACAAUCUACUGUACCAAUCGCCAUUUAUGAAUCUAUCCUAUUUCCUCUCUUUUUUU